AGGAAAGCAUUUCUUGAAUUCAAGAAGUCUAUUCUUGAAGUUGAAUUCUAGCAACAACAACUAGCUAAUGAAGAACUAAUCGCCAUUGGCAGAGAAUUAAAAAACAAGAGAUAGAUUGUGAAACCCGACCUUUUAGAAUAACAAGAACAACAACAAGCCUAAACUUAUCACCUUUCAUGAAUACCUAAAAGUGAUAUAAGAUUUCGAAAGUGGUGAAACCCGACCCUUUAGAAUAACAAGAACAACAAUAAGCCUAAACUUAUCACCUUUCUUGAAUACCUAGAAGUGAUCUAAGAUUUCGAAAAUAGUUUAAUCUUACCACCUAAGUUAGUUCUUGAAGAUUGAAGAAUAAAUCCAAGAGUAACCACACACCAUGGUGCAAGAAAAUUCUCACAUUUCUUUAUUGAUA
rnacentral:lncRNA from 1 species